rnacentral:lncRNA from 1 species
UGGAUGCAACUAACCUCACUCCAAGAUUAUGGCCUCGGGCAAGUGCUGUUGGUGAGAGACUCUGGAGUUCCAAAGAUGUCAGAGAUAUGGAUGACGCCUAUGACAGACUGACAAGGCACCGCUGCAGGAUGGUCGAAGGCCUGGCAUCUUUCUUGUGAGACAAGCUUAAGGACACAAAAGAAACACAACUUUGUGAUACCACUCUUCUGAAGGCUACUUAUAGUAAUAACUUCAUAGAUGAACAGCAUGAUUCAGGUUACUGAUUGUCUAUUCAUUGGCAUAUAAUAUCCCCUGAAUUAAGAAGAAUAUGUACUUUUCAGUUACAAAGUACCUACCAUAAUUUCUGCUAAGGGAACAAAUCCAAUAACAACUUUGUUGUCCUGGCGAGUCUGAAUUUCCUGAAUGUUUCCUCUUCUUUGUGCCAGAUCUGCCAGGACAGGGCUGAGAUAAUCUCUAGCUACUGUAACCUCAAGAUUCAUCAGAGGCUCCAAAACUUGCUUAUCAGCUUUCUUCAGAGCCUAAAGAAAUUAAAGAAUGUUAACUUAUCUUUCAUAAAUAAAAACUUAAAAUAAAUACAGCCUAGAGCUCAUACAAAAAGACAUAA